GUCAUUAAUUUUCCUGUGUUUAAUAUUCUUCAAAAUGAUUGCUGUAGGAAUCCUAAUGUUUGUUGCACUGAUCAUUUCAUAUGCUGAUUGUCAGCCCCCAGUGUUGGUACUUGAUAAUGUUAUUGUAAAUGUUGGACAAAGAGCAUCUUUCACCUGCAAGAUUGGAGCUAAGGAUGGAGACUAUGUAUAUUUCUUUAAGCAAAACCCUGCAGAAGUUCCUCAGCUUAUACUGUAUAAUCACCACUCUUUCACAGCCCCUAAAUAUGGUCCUGGAAUGUCAUCAGCACAAUAUACAAGUUCCAUAAACAGCGCUGGAACAGAAUAUCAGCUAAUUAUAACAAAGGCAGAAGCAACAGACACUUCUUUAUAUUACUGUGCUAAAUGGUACAGUGUAGGAUACCACAGUGAUAAACAGCAGAACAAAAUCUCCAUGCAGUGGGAGACAACUGACAGAGUUUUGGAAAGGCAUGUGAUUGUCAUAGCGAACCGAGCAGUUCAUAACAUCUACAUGCUGGCUUACUAUUUGCACCUAGCCAGCUGA